CCCAGACAGACGCACUAGAGCAGGGAAUCCCUCUUAUCUAUGUUCGGGGAAAACUGCCCGAACAUAGAGCAACACUCCAACGUGGGGAAUCCCUUGAACCCCCACGCUAGAGAGCUGGUUGUAAGUUCGAGCCAUUCUAAAACAGGCAGGUUGUAAAGUGAGGACCACUUGUACAUGGAAAAAUAAGGUAAACGGUUUGAUUAACGAAACAGGGGGUCUGUCAGUAAAAUACAGUAAUACAGCGCAGAUUAAGUGCAGACGAGGUAUAUUUGCACAUUGCGCACAGGAGUCAACACCAAUAUGCUCUGAACUCCUAGGUAAGAAAUUGGUUAUAUAUAAAGAAAAUGCAUUGAAUGAUCUAUACAAUAAUAUAUAGGUUUUACAUAGAUACUUUCAUUUUACUGUUAUAGCUUGUAGCUGUGUGUUCAUCACGUUUUUGUAUUAUAUUUUUUGAAUGUCAGAGCAGAGCAAAUAAUUAUGCAGAGUUUGCCACCCAAGGAACAUUGUACAGCUACGUUGAAGUAGAUUGUUGGUUCCUAAUUA